AUUGAACGCUGGCGGCAGGCCUAACACAUGCAAGUCGAACGAGAGGCGGACGGGUGUGUAAAGUCUGGGAAACUGCGCGACGGAGGGGGUUAACUGUUGGAAAUGUUUGCUAAUACCGCAUACCAUCUGAUGUGCCCAGAUGGGAUUAGCUAGUAGGUGUGGUAAUUGCUCACCUAGGCGACGAUCCCUAGCUGGUCUGAGAGGAUGACCUGCCAAGCGGGAACUGAGACACGGACCCAACGCCUACGGGAGGCGGCAGGGGGGAAGGUUGCACAGUGGGCGAAGACCAGAUGAAGCGAAGGCGCGUAGGGGAGGAAGGCCUUCAUGUUGUUAAGUACUUUCAGCGGGGAGGCGUUAGCCGUUUAUGAAGCACCGGCUAACUCCGUGCCAGCAGCCGCGGUAAUAC
rnacentral:rRNA from 1 species